UACGUAGGGUGCAAGCGUUAAUCGGAAUUACUGGGCGUAAAGCGUGCGCAGGCGGUUCGUUAAGACAGCUGUGAAAUCCCCGGGCUUAACCUGGGAACUGCAUUUGUGACUGGCGGACUGGAGUAUGGCAGAGGGGGGUAGAAUUCCACGUGUAGCAGUGAAAUGCGUAAAGAUGUGGAGGAACACCGAUGGCGAAGGCAGCCCCCUGGGCCAAUACUGACGCUCAUGCACGAAAGCGUGGGGAGCAAACAGG
rnacentral:rRNA from 1 species